GCUCGAACCAUGGCAUAUGAACAAAUCUCUGACUGGCCGCUCUUGGCUAGGUCAACUUCUAAACAUAUAUAUAUAUAUAUAUAUAUAUAUAUAUAUAUAUAUAUAUAUAUAUAUAUAUAUAUAUAUAUAUAUAUAUAUAUAUAUAUAUAUAUAUAUAUAUAUAUAUAUAUAUAUAUAUAUAUUCAUUGUUUACAAAAUUACGUUGUACAAAAACCAUAAUAGAGCGGCUAACAAAAUGAAAUCAGAGUUUUUAGCUCGACGACAAAAAUGGCUCGAACCAUGGCAUAUGAACAAAUCUCUGACUGGCCGCUCUUGGCUAGGUCAACUUCUAAACAUAUACAUCAUUACCUGCAUCAUAAGAACCUAAUGAGCUAAUAGCUCAGCAAGUUGAAACUGAUGUAAUAGCAAUAUAUCACAUAACACGUUAUUCUCUCAACAUAUACAAUAUCACAUAUAACUUCAUUCAGAUCUUUUCUUUUGAAAUCCUUCUCUUUUUCGGGUACCCUUGAAGUGUGGUACUUGACUGAUAGCAAUAGGCUUUGGUUUUCGGAACCUGUUCAUCAUAUUUGGCCAAUAGAUAAUACGGGGUUUCCAUACCGGCCUUUCGACCUCAGGUAUUAGCCGUAUUUUAUUUCAUUAAUUGUGGGUUUUCCAUGCUGGUCUUUCGACCUCAGGUAUUUGCCACCAUGUGUUGGGUCCGCCGGUUCCUCCCGCGUCCCUUGCCUACCCGACCAUCAAUCAAGUACCAUACUCCCAUUUUCGAAAACAUAUUCUUUCAUAUCCCUAUGACUCAUCAAUCAUUCAACAUCGUGAAGAACACGUAGCAAAAGUCACAUUUAAAGCACACAUAAUUAGGUUCUUAUGAUGAGUAAAUGAAAGCUUCAACUUACCUCAAGUUCAAUAUAGUGUAUGAAGUGAAAAGAUCAGUCUCGUAUAGGUUGUGCUAGAGUCCCUGAUUAGAGAUGAAUUCAAACUUCAAAACGUAGGAUUUUCAGCUAGAAAAGGUGCAUAACUUGUUCUAGCUCUACUUCUAUGAGUUCUUAUAGUUUGAUGUUCUCUUAUGUGAGUAUAGAAGUGAAGAAAUAUGAAGAGAAGCUUAAGUAAAUUGGUCUGGUAGUUUUUGGAAGAAGGCAAGUGAAAAUGAAGACAAAAACACAAAGUCUUCACUUAUCUACCCAUUCCCAACAAGGCCAAAUGGAGGAUGAUGAUUGGAAGGCUUGUUUUUGCUGGAUUCUUGUGGUUCCUCCACGUUUUUCUAGCUUGAGAUAAGAUAUGGGCUGAUGCUUACUCAUUAUAAUCAAGUGUAAACAAUUUGAGA
rnacentral:lncRNA from 1 species